rnacentral:rRNA from 1 species
AGCUCCAAUAGCGUAUAUUAAAGUUGUUGCAGUUAAAAAGCUCGUAGUUGGACUUCUGCGGGUGGCGGCCGGUCGUGCCCUUAUGUGGCGUGAACUUGGCUCUUUGCCGCCCGCAUCUUUGGGGAGAUUGUGCGUGGCAUUAGGUUGUCGUGCAUGGGAUUCUCAUCAUUUACUGUGAAAAAUUAGAGUGUUUAAAGCAGGCCUUUGCCUUGAAUACAUUAGCAUGGAAUAAUAAGAUAGGACCGUUGUCUAUUUUGUUGGUUUACAGAUGUCGGUAAUGAUUAAUAGGGAUAGUUGGGGGUAUUCGUAUUCAGUUGUCAGAGGUGAAAUUCUUGGAUUUUCGGAAGACGCACGACUGCGAAAGCAUUUACCAAGGAUGUUUUCA